rnacentral:rRNA from 1 species
GACGAACGCUGGCGGCGUGCCUAAUACAUGCAAGUUGAGCGCUGAAGGUUGGUACUUGUACCAACUGGAUGAGCAGCGAACGGGUGAGUAACGCGUGGGGAAUCCGCCUUUGAGCGGGGGACAACAUUUGGAAACGAAUGCUAAUACCGCAUAAAAACUUUAAACACAAGUUUUAAGUUUGAAAGAUGCAAUUGCAUCACUCAAAGAUGAUCCCGCGUUGUAUUAGCUAGGUGGUGAGGUAAAGGCUCACCAAGGCGAUGAUACAUAGCCGACCUGAGAGGGUGAUCGGCCACCUUGGGACUGAGACACGGCCCAAACUCCUACGGGAGGCAGCCGUAGGGGAUCUUCGGCCAUGGACGAAAGUCUGACCGAGCAACGCCGCGGGAGUGAAGAAGGUUUUCGGAUUGUAAAACUCUGUUCGUAGAGAAGAACGUUGGUGAGAGUGGAAAGCUCACCAAGUGACGGUAACUACACAGAAAGGGACGGCUAACUACGUG